AUGGCUCACCUCCGCCUCCUCCUUUCCCACUCCCGCUGCCACCCGCAGCCCCAUCGCCUCCUCCCGCUCUUCCGCUUCUCCACCUCCAACUCCGGCGACCCCCCACCGCCGACCAUCAAGCCCGUCUCCUACGCCCCGAAGCCGCAGGCCCCACCCGAGGAGGCCUCCUCGCCGGAUGCCCGGAGCGCUAGCCCCGGGUGGCAGGAUUCGCCUCCCAGGAGAUUUGAGCAGCAGCCGCCGAAUCCGCCGCGGCAGUUUACGCGGCAAGAGGUGCGGUUCGUCAAGGACGCGGGGCCCGCGAUCGCGCCGGUGUCGUACCCGAGCAGGGUUGCGCCGCUCCCGGAAGACCGUCCAGCGGAAGAUGGGGCUGGGGAAGGGGUGAAUGAGCAGGAUCUGCGCGGCGAGGCGGAGCGGAUUGAGAUGAAUGCUGAGCGGGCGAGGAGGUCCAUCUUCGGCGUGCCGGUGGAGGAGGAGACGGUGCCGUACCCAUCGCUGAUACCCGCUGCGAAGCGGCCGCAGAAGGUCGCCAUUGAUCUCGUCGAUGCACUCCGCGAAAUCAAGACCAGUGCAAAUGAGAAGAAGCGGAAUUUUACUGAAACAGUGGAAGCUCAUGUGAUGUUAGGUGUUGAUCCACGUCGUGGUGACCAGAUGGUCCGUGGCGCCAUAACUUUGCCGCAUGGCACUGGCAAGACUGUUAGGGUAGCAGUAUUUGCGGAAGGGCCUUCAGCAGAGGAAGCUAGAGCAGCUGGAGCAGAUGUUGUUGGUGGCGACGAGCUGAUCGAGGAGAUUCGCAAAGGAGGAGGCAAACUAAGUUUCGACAAGUGCAUAGCAACCCCAAUGUUCAUGCCUCGGCUUUCAAAGGUCGCUAGAAUAUUGGGUCCGCGUGGUUUGAUGCCAAAUCCUAAGUUAGGGUCUGUGACAAAUGAUGUUUCUGGUGCUGUCAAAGCGGCAAAAUCAGGUCGUGUUGAUUUUAAGAUAGAUAAAACUGCUAUAGUGCAUGUUGGCCUUGGAAAGAUCAAUUUUUCUGAGGAGAGUUUACGUGAAAAUAUUGGUGCUUUCGUAAAUGCACUUUUACUUGCUAAGCCGGUGGGCCUAAAGAAAACUUCGAAAUAUGUUGGAUACGUGAAGAAGUUCACGCUGAGUAGCACAAUGGGACCUGGAUUUCCUGUUACUAUACCGUCGCUAUCGGCAGCUGCUGAUGACUAUAGCAAGGCGCAUGUGAGCUAA
rnacentral:rRNA from 1 species